GCUCUCUCUCUCUAGUGUCAUCACCAAAGUCUUCAAGAUCACUUUCACCGCCCUCUCUCCAUAAGAAAAUUAUCAUAACUCUUUUUUUUUUUAAUAAAUAAAAUAAAAAACAGAAAGAAGAAGAAGAAGAGAAUGAGUGAUCCCAAGUACGCUUAUCCUUACCCAGCUCAAGGGUAUUACCAGGGACCGCGGGUGGUGGCUCCGCCGCAGUACGCAGCUCCGCCGCCGAGAAGGCAGCCCGGUUUUCUUGAGGGAUGCCUGGCGGCGCUGUGUUGCUGCUGCUUGCUGGACGAGUGCUGCUGUGAUCCCACCAUCAUUUUUGACUUUUGAUGUUUUCCUUACAUCUUCUUCUGCUUGUGGUUGUAAUGUCUAUAUAUUAAUAUCUCUGUAUGUCAUCUUAUAACUGUCUGCCAUUGUAUUACAUCUUAUUACAUGUUUCAUUUUCUUA